CAGAGCUGUUCUUUUACAGACUCCCAACCCAUGUGAACAUACCGAUGUUGCCUCGGCCGGAACGUCCGCCCCCUCCCGGGCGGCGGCCGGCCGCAGGACCCCUAAACUCUUGUUUAAUCUUGACCAUUCUGAAUUACAAAAACAAAUAAGUUA
rnacentral:misc_RNA from 1 species